rnacentral:rRNA from 1 species
GAGGCUCGCGGCCUAUCAGCUUGUUGGUGGGGUAAUGGCCUACCAAGGCGUCGACGGGUAGCCGGCCUGAGAGGGUGGACGGCCACAUUGGGACUGAGAUACGGCCCAGACUCCUACGGGAGGCAGCAGUGGGGAAUAUUGCACAAUGGGCGCAAGCCUGAUGCAGCGACGCCGCGUGGGGGAUGACGGCCUUCGGGUUGUAAACUCCUUUCGUUAGGGACGAAGCCACACCUUUUUUUGGGUGUGGUGACGGUACCUUUGUUAAGAAGCACCGGCUAACUAC